rnacentral:tRNA from 1 species
UUUGUUAAAGUGUGAGGCACAUAAAAAUUUGAUUUUUAAGGAGGCAAAACUUGCCUAACAAAA